rnacentral:rRNA from 1 species
UAUUGGACAAUGGGGGAAACCCUGAUCCAGCGACGCCGCGUGAGUGAAGAAGUAUUUCGGUAUGUAAAGCUCUAUCAGCAGGGAAGAUAAUGACAGUACCUGACUAAGAAGCACCGGCUAAAUACGUGCCAGCAGCCGCGGUAAUACGUAUGGUGAAAGCGUUAUCCGGAUUUACUGGGUGUAAAGGGAGCGUAGGCGGUCUGCCAAGUCUGAUGUGAAAACCCGGGGCUCAACCCCGGGAGUGCAUUGGAAACUGGCGGACUGGAGUGUCGGAGAGGUAAGCGGAAUUCCUAGUGUAGCGGUGAAAUGCGUAGAUAUUAGGAGGAACACCAGUUGCGAAGGCGGCUCUCUGGACUGUAACUGACACUGAGGCACGAAAGCGUGGGGAGCAAACAGG